CAAUAGCGUACAUUAAAGUUGUUGCAGUUAAAAAGCUCGUAGUUGGAUUUCUGGUGGGAGCGAUCGGUCUGGCGCUUAGCGCGAGUACUUGCAUCGUCUCCGGCCAUCCUUGGGGAGAGUCUGUCUGGCAUUAAGUUGUCGGGCAGAGGAUCCUCAUCGUUUACUGUGAAAAAAUUAGAGUGUUCAAAGCAGGCUUAUGCCGUUGAAUAUAUUAGCAUGGAAUAAUAAGAUAGGACUUUGGUACUAUUUUGUUGGUUUGCGCACCAAAGUAAUGAUUAAUAGGGACAGUUGGGGGUAUUCGUAUUCCGUUGUCAGAGGUGAAAUUCUUGGAUUUACGGAAGACGAACUACUGCGAAAGCAUUUACCAAGGAUGUUUUCAUUAA
rnacentral:rRNA from 1 species